UCAGUUGGACUGAGUAAUCGGGACAGCUCACAAAUCUCAGAAGCAAGCGAGAGCAGAAUCUGGAGCCUGCUCUUUGUGUUUCAGCAACUCCCACCCCACAUAUAUUUGCAAACAGAUACUGAGAAGUCUGAAAGAGAAUACUUAACAUCUUAAAUCAACUGGAAGGCGUCUAAAGCAAGGGAUUGAAACGUCUGCUUUCAUUCCUAGAAAGAGGCAAAUAACUGCUUCCAGAAGCUCAGCACAAUGGUUCUGAAAUAGACACUGCAACAAUAAAUGGAGAAUACAUCAGCUUGAUUGAAACAAUAUUUGUAACGGGAGCAAAUAACACCCUGUGAAAUGGGGGACAGUUGAGGAAUAUAUUUGCGGUUCAGGUCUCUCUCUCAAAGGAAGGGUGAAAGUCUGGAUGAAUGAAGUCCUAUAAGCUUUGGAGUUGCUGAGGCCAAGUGUCACGUGUUGAGUAAAGCAGGAUCACAUUGCAUUUUUCUUUCGGGGUGUGUAGUACUUUAAUUGAACUGUGGUUGUAAACGAAUAAAUAACACUUUAAAUUACA